rnacentral:tRNA from 1 species
UAUAGAGUGCCUGAUUAAAGGAUAAUUUUGAUAGAAUUAAAAAUGUGUUUUACACCUCUAUAA